AUCUGACUCUGAUCAGUACCACUAGCCAAUAGGAGUCCUCCUUAUGAGCCAAUUAAGUAAUUUAGGAUUUUGGCUGCCCUUCUGAAUUAUCUGCCUGUCUGACCAUCAGGUGCAUGCAUUUUCAUCUGAGCCAAUCAGAUGCCUGUUACUGGAAUGCACUGAUCCUUCCCCACUUUUUUGAGCAAGCAGUCUUUUGGAACCCCCAAAGGGAACAAUGGUGCUAUCCAGUUGAGAUUCUGCCCCUGGGAAAAUCUCAUGAUAUCCAAUCUCUCAUCCGUGGUUCUGCGCUGUCUUCACUGCUCACCAUGAUAAGGGUCAAGCAGAUGGAAGAAAGAAAUGAUUAAGAUCAGACUAUGGUAAAAUAAAAAAUGAACACACUUACUUGGCUUCAGGUCACAGCACAGAUGCUUUGGACUAUAGCUUCCAUCUUUUCCGACCAUGGGCCAUGAUGGUUAGGGCUGAUGGGAGUAGGAGCCCAACAAUAUUUGGAGGACACCAGAUUGAGGUAGGCUAUUUUGAACACUUCUUCCUGACGAAGCUAGCUAAACUAAGUGGAACUAUUUGAAAGGUUGUCCUGUCACUACAAUCAUCAAAAUAACAUAAUGUGUUAUGCAAAUGUAGAAAGUGAAAGGAUGUGAGAGGGAAAUGAGUUAAUUUAGGGAAGCCCUGAGGUAACUUCCUGCCAGAAAAGCAAGUACAAAUAUGUUUUAUUCUCUUCAUUUCAUAUUAUGCAAAUAAUGUACAAGCCUAUCCAAAGAUUAUAAAGCUAUUAUUCUAUCCCAAAAGGAAUAUGUGAGGUGGGACCAUAUUGCUAUGAUGUUUGUUUGAUUAAUUUCUUUUAUUUUAUUACAGUUUUAUUUUGUAUUUAAAAAUCCAAUGAAAUAAAAAGUUUAAACAAUUAAAAUUGGAAAUAAUAUGCAUACAAGGAGAAAAAGCUAACCUGAAAUAUUACCAAUUAGCAACGUAAUUUCCAACAGAGCUGUCAACCAAUUAAAGGCUUUUAGUUGAUUAAUGGCAUUGUUUUUAACUGAUCAAUCCAAGUAACUAAUUAAAAUAAACAUUACAGUGUGCAGUCCUUGACCAUUGAAAUCAAUGGGAAUUCUUCCAUGGGCUUGAACAGAAUCAUAACUACAACCCUUCAGAUCUCAGUGCAAGUAUGUUUUCGCAAAGAUAGCAUGUUCCUUGAACUAAUUGGCACAACUACCAGCACUCCACAUCCUUUCAUACUGGGCAUCUCCAAUUAAAAUUUCACUGUAAUUAAUUCAGCAAUUGAUCAAUUAAUUGGAUAAUCCACUUCCUUGCUCUUUUCUUCAUUAUAGUAAUGAUAACAUACGCUCAAAAGUUCUGCAGGGUCUCUUAAGAUGACCAGGGGCCAUACUUGCUGAUUACUGAAUAUUGCCUAUGAAUAUGUGAGGAAGUGAUCAUCUGUAGUCUCUGACUGAAUUCAGCAUCACUGCCUCCACUUUUCUACAGCUGUUUGGAUCUGGAGCAGCAUAGGAUGGUAAUGCUGGGAUUAAUCAUAUGUCUGAAGGUGACAGAUGACAAUUUCUGCAUUACCUAAGCCAACCCAUAUGCACAUUUCACUGCUCAUAUGAGGUUUACCCAAUAUAUCCAGCAAAGCAUUAAUAAUAUGGCCAGUCAGCUUCCAUGAGUGCAGGCUG